UCGCCUAAAGCUUGAAUUCUAGGUAUAGCCUGCCCACUGAAAAUUUAACGGCCGCAGUAUCCUGACUGUGCAAAGGUAGCAUAAUCAUUUGUCUUUUAAUUGAAGGCUGGUAUGAAUGGCUGAACGGGGUGGGAGCUUUCCCCUAAUUUAAGCUAAACUUAAUCUGUAAGUUAAAAAGCUUACGCUACACCGCAGGACGAGAAGACCCCGUAGAUCUUAAUAUACAUAAACAUAAGUUAUUAGAAUUACGUAAAGUUAGAUUUUUAUAUUAUUUAGUUGGGGCGACUACUAACACUUUCCACAAAUACAUUAAUUUAUGAUUAUAAGACCCGCAUUAGCGAUUAAAAGAUAAAGUUACCUCGGGGAUAACAGCGUAAUCUAAGUUUAGAGUCCUUAUCAACACUUAGGUUUGCGACCUCGAUGUUGGAUUAAGAUUCAAUUUAAAUGCAGCAGUUUAAAAUUGGGGUCUGUUCGACCUUUAAAAUCUUACAUGAUCU
rnacentral:rRNA from 1 species